GAUGAACGCUGGCGGCGUGCUUAACACAUGCAAGUCGAACGAAGCACUUUAUUUGAUUUCCUUCGGGACUGAUUAUUUUGUGACUGAGUGGCGGACGGGUGAGUAACGCGUGGGUAACCUGCCUUGUACAGGGGGAUAACAGUUGGAAACGGCUGCUAAUACCGCAUAAUCGCACGGCAUCGCAUGAUGCAGUGUGAAAAACUCCGGUGGUAUAAGAUGGACCCGCGUUGGAUUAGCUAGUUGGUGAGGUAACGGCCCACCAAGGCGACGAUCCAUAGCCGACCUGAGAGGGUGACCGGCGACAUUGGGACUGAGACACGGCCCAAACUCCUACGGGAGGCAGCAGUGGGGAAUAUUGCACAAUGGGCGAAAGCCUGAUGCAGCGACGCCGCGUGAGCGAAGAAGUAUUUCGGUAUGUAAAGCUCUAUCAGCAGGGAAGAUAAUGACGGUACCUGACUAAGAAGCACCGGCUAAAUACGUG
rnacentral:rRNA from 1 species